rnacentral:misc_RNA from 1 species
UAUUCCAGUCUAUUGGUGUCCUGAAGAAUAGAGGCAAUAAAAAACAAACAUGAAUUAAUCACAUUAUCAACCAGUAUUUGAAGAAAAACUUGUACACCUCAACAUAUAUGGACCCAAAAAAUAGAGUAUUAAAUAACAUGUAUAGAAAAGCACAAGGCUUCCUUUCACUCACAAAUCACAAUCAUUGAGCAUGCCACUUCUUUCAGCACACUCAGUAUGUGAUAGCAAAAUAAUAAAAUUUAAUUUUGUUUAAAUACAGCCACAUAUAUGGUGUGAUCAUGCAUCGCAUGCAUCACAACUGCCACUGCCACUCAAUUCGAGAUUCAAAA